rnacentral:lncRNA from 1 species
AUGUAUGUGGGUCAGAAUGAGGGCAUCCUUAUGGCUCUCAAGGUGUCUAGUCUUAGGCUAUCUUUUGGACUUCUUGGCUUGACUAGUUUCUCUCUUACUGUGCCUCUGACCAUCUCUUGGCCUGUACUUCCUAGGCUCAAGGCUUUUAGAGAUUUUCUCUACUUCCCCAUCUCUCUUCUCUGGCUCUCCAUCUUCAGGUCUCUUUUUUCUGGUCCAUCUUGCUCACCACCCUUACCUCUCUUCCCUCUCCUUGACUGGUCCCAACUCUUCAUUUCUCUGAUUCUCUCCCACCCUGAUCUGUUUUUCACUCUGAUUUUCUCUCCAACUGUCUUUCUCCAUUUGACUCCACUCCUCCUCUUCAGUUUUUCAUCUCUCAUUUUGUUUGAAUUUUGUGUGUGUGUGUGUGUGACUCUCCGUUUUCUUCUCUCUCCAUCACUGACUCUCCAUUUCUCCAUCUAAAAUUCUGUCACCUAGUUUGAAGCUCUAAUAAUAGCCAACAUUUACUUAGGGCUGACACACAUCAGACACUACAUCACUCAUAUAUAGUUACAUGCAUACAUAUACAUCACACACACAAAUAUGUACACUUUUCUCAAAACUCUAGUUUCCACUCUCAUCGUUCUACGUUUCUUUCCAUCUCCCAAGUACACGGUGCGAUCACACUUCUCUCGUGGACCGUGUGAGCCUCUCUCCGUCGGGUCCAUUAGUCUCUCGCCCUCGAUCUCUCCAGUUUUCAGCUUCUCUCCUCGUCUCAACCUCCCCGUCUCUCAGUCCCUCAGUUUCUCGAAACUCCUUUUUGUGCCUCCAUUUCUGUCAACCUCUCUGACCCUCAGUUCUCUUAGCAACGCUCAGGCUCCAUCUCUAUCUGCUUCUCCCGGCUGCCCGGCUUCCUCCAACACCUUGCCUCAUCUCGGGGUCUCCCCGUUCCCCUCAGCCCGCUCCCAAGCUGUUCCCGAUCCCGAUCGAGCUCCAGUCGCCGCCACCACCGCCCCACGCAGCCGCCCCG